rnacentral:rRNA from 1 species
AUUGAACGCUGGCGGCAGGCCUAACACAUGCAAGUCGAGCGGAUGAAGGGAGCUUGCUCCUGGAUUCAGCGGCGGACGGGUGAGUAAUGCCUAGGAAUCUGCCUGGUAGUGGGGGAUAACGUCCGGAAACGGGCGCUAAUACCGCAUACGUCCUGAGGGAGAAAGUGGGGGAUCUUCGGACCUCACGCUAUCAGAUGAGCCUAGGUCGGAUUAGCUAGUUGGUGGGGUAAAGGCCUACCAAGGCGACGAUCCGUAACUGGUCUGAGAGGAUGAUCAGUCACACUGGGACUGAGACACGGUCCGGAAUCCUACGGGAGGCAGCAGUGGGGAAUAUUGGACAAUGGGCGAAAGCCUGAUCCAGCCAUGCCGCGUGUGUGAAGAAGGUCGUCGGAUUGUAAAGCACUUUAAGUUGGGAGGAAGGGCAGUAAGUUAAUACCGUGCUGUUGUGACGUGACCAACAGAAUAAGCACCGGCUAAAUUCG